AGAGUUUGAUCCUGGCUCAGGAUGAACGCUGGCGGCGUGCCUAAUACAUGCAAGUCGAACGCACCGCUUCGGUGGUGAGUGGCGAACGGGUGAGUAAUACAUAAGUAACCUGGCCUUUCGAGGGGGAUAACUAUUGGAAACGAUAGCUAAGACCGCAUAGGCAUAAUUCUCGCAUGAGAGUUAUGUUAAAUAUCCCAAGGGAUAGCGAGAGGAUGGACUUAUGGCGCAUUAGCUAGUUGGUGAGGGUAACGGCCCACCAAGGCGACGAUGCGUAGCCGACCUGAGAGGGUGGACGGCCACACUGGGACUGAGACACGGCCCAGACUCCUACGGGAGGCAGCAGUAGGGAAUUUUCGGCAAUGGGCGAAAGCCUGACCGAGCAACGCCGCGUGAGGGAGGAAGUAUUUCGGUAUGUAAACCUCUGUUAUAAAGGAAGAACGGCGCAUGUAGGGAAUGACAUGCGAGUGACGGUACUUUAUGAGAAAGCCACGGCUAACUACGUGCCAGCAGCCGCGGUAAUACGUAGGUGGCGAGCGUUAUCCGGAAUCAUUGGGCGUAAAGAGGGAGCAGGCGGCAACUAGGGUCUGCGGUAAAAGACCGAAGCUAAACUUCGGUAAGCCGUGGAAACCGAGGAGCUAGAGUGCAGUAGAGGAUCGUGGAAUUCCAUGUGUAGCGGUGAAAUGCGUAGAUAUAUGGAGGAACACCAGUGGCGAAGGCGACGGUCUGGGCUGCAACUGACGCUCAGUCCCGAAAGCGUGGGGAGCAAAUAGGAUUAGAUACCCUAGUAGUCCACGCCGUAAACG
rnacentral:rRNA from 1 species